CAAGCAGAUUCUGGUGAUGGAGAAAACCAUCCUUGGAAACCUCGAAUGGCAAUACGUGUUCCUUGUCCGCUUCAUUACAGCUUCCAUGUCUGACCCAAAGCUUUUACCGAAUGCUCAGAACGAGAGGAAGCUAAUCAACAGUGGUGAUAACAACUUAUUUUUAUCGGCACCGUUUCAAGUCAAGAUUCCGUUGGCCGCAUCAUCACCGACACAGCUGCGGUAUAAAAUUCCUUAUUAGUUUCUCUGUAAGUAUGUUGAAAUCUCUAUGGUCAUCUUGUUUAAAAGACUGGCAUUAUGUCUCUGCUACGGAUUUUUAAACUAAUUUUGUUGUCACUUUCUUUUGUUUGGGAAUUUUUGAAGUUGCUUGAUUGAUAAUAGAAAUUUAUGUGUAUUCAUAAUGUGUAAGCAAACAGAAAGUGACGUCCUGUCAUUAAUUUGACCGUUAGAGAUCGUAUUGUUUCA